UAGUAAGGUCAGCUAACUAAGCUUUUGGGCCCAUACCCCACACAUGAGUGUUAAAAUCACUUCCUCACU
rnacentral:tRNA from 1 species